GCGUCUGUAGUGUAGUGGUAACAUCGGAGCUUCCCAAGCUUCUGUCCCGGGUUCGAGUCCCGGCGGACGCA
rnacentral:tRNA from 1 species